AAUUUCCAUGUAAAACCUUGUCUACGCAUGCGUGGGAUUCCAGUUAAAUAGCAGGCAAGUGCCUUUUAUGCGCCAUACCAACGCCGAUUUUCAUCUCCGAUUUUCUGAUCGUAAAAUUUCAAGUUAAAGAUAAGACACUUGUACAGAGUAAGACACGAUGUCUAGUAAGGAUGGCAAUGUUCCCACACAAAAGGGCCUAGAUAACCACUCAAACCAAUGUAACCCCAACAAUGCUGAACACAAAGGCUAUGACAAGCAUUUCCAGGGAGACCAGAAGGCCGCUGAUAACCACAGCAGACAACUUAAUCCCCAGGACACGAAGUACACACCCCCAAAGAAGUAACAUCCGGUGUGGGGACUACAGACUGACUCAAAUAAUCGGAACAAAUCUGUAGAUAGGGCGAAACACAUACAAUUUGUAUAAAUCAAAUACCAUGAUUUUGUAAACAUCUUGCGCCUUCAUGCAUAUCUCUUAAAUAAACAUAUAUCAGUUUGACAAA